CUGGCAACUUCAAUCGAUGCAUUUCACAGAACAGGGGACAGAGCCCACAGACUUUGUGAUGCAGUUUUCUGUGUGAGCAGCCUGAUUAUUUUUUUUUCCUAGACUGGAGGAAGAGGAAAUGGUGAUGGUCCUGCACUACAGCCAGUCUCUAAUGCUAGUGUCAGCCCCCAGAAAGGCCAGUGACUACCUGAGCUAGUUGUGUGGGGAGUUUGCUUUGGAAAGGUGUCAGAGAACGGCUUGGGAAGGAGGAACGGCAAGAGGAGGACCCUGAGCUGCCUGGGUGAUAUGAAAAAUUGUAUCUGCUGGAAAUCUACAGGAUCACUUGUCAGAAGAUUACACCUCUGUUGGCUUACAAACUACAGCAUAGAGUUACCAAAGAAGAAACCAAAAUGACAACUUUAUGAGGAUCUGUAACGAAAGAUGUGACACUCCAUGGAAAACAAGGACAACAAAAAUGUAAGUAAACAUUAGCAUUCAAGAAAAACAGU